UGGGGAAUAUUGCACAAUGGGCGCAAGCCUGAUGCAGCCAUGCCGCGUGUAUGAAGAAGGCCUUCGGGUUGUAAAGUACUUUCAGCGGGGAGGAAGGUGUUGAGGCUAAUAACCUCAGCAAUUGACGUUACCCGCAGAAGAAGCACCGGCUAACUCCGUGCCAGCAGCCGCGGUAAUACGGAGGGUGCAAGCGUUAAUCGGAAUUACUGGGCGUAAAGCGCACGCAGGCGGUCUGUCAAGUCGGAUGUGAAAUCCCCGGGCUCAACCUGGGAACUGCAUUCGAAACUGGCAGGCUAGAGUCUUGUAGAGGGGGGUAGAAUUCCAGGUGUAGCGGUGAAAUGCGUAGAGAUCUGGAGGAAUACCGGUGGCGAAGGCGGCCCCCUGGACAAAGACUGACGCUCGGGUGCGAAAGCGUGGGGAGCAAACA
rnacentral:rRNA from 1 species